AGUGAACGCUGGCGGUAGGCCUAACACAUGCAAGUCGAACGGCAGCACAGUAAGAGCUUGCUCUUACGGGUGGCGAGUGGCGGACGGGUGAGGAAUACAUCGGAAUCUACUUUUUCGUGGGGGAUAACGUAGGGAAACUUACGCUAAUACCGCAUACUACCUACGGGUGAAAGCAGGUGAUCUUCGGACCUUGCGCGAUUGAAUGAGCCGAUGUCGGAUUAGCUAGUUGGCUGGGUAAAGGCCCACCAAGGCGACGAUCCGUAGCUGGUCUGAGAGGAUGAUCAGCCACACUGGAAAUGAGACACGGUCCAGACUCCUACGGGAGGCAGCAGUGGGGAAUAUUGGACAAUGGGCGCAAGCCUGAUCCAGCCAUACCGCGUGGGUGAAGAAGGCCUUCGGGUUGUAAAGCCCUUUUGUUGGGAAAGAAAAGCAGCAGGUUAAUACCCCGCUGUUCUGACGGUACCCAAAGAAUAAGCACCGGCUAACUUCGUG
rnacentral:rRNA from 1 species